UCCCUUAUCGGAAGAUAUGGGUAAUCUUUUGAAACUUCAUCGUGCUGGGGAUAGAGCAUUGCAAUUAUUGCUCUUGAACGAGGAAUCCCUAGUAAGCACAAGUCAUUAGCUUGUGCUGAUUACGUCCCUGCCCUUUGUACACACCGCCCGUCGCUACUACCGAUUGAAUGGCUUAGUGAGGCCCUCGAAUUGAGGUUCGGAGACUGGCAACAGUUUCUGUUCUUUGAGAAGUUGGUCAAACUUGGUCAUUUAGAGGGAAGUAAAAGUCGUAACAAGGUUUCCGUAGGUGAACCUGCGGAAGGAUCAUUACCAAUUUUAGCGAGCCUGGCAUUACGUCCAUGGCCUCGUGAAAUUAUUGUAUUUAAAACCCACACUUCUAUAAUAAAAUAACAUGUAUCAUGAUAAAAAUUUAAAGAUCACUUUCAACAACGGAUCUCUUGGCUCUCGCAUCGAUGAAGAACGUAGCGAAGUGCGAUAAGUAGUGUGAAUUGCAGAAUUCCGUGAAUCAUCGAAUCUUUGAACGCAAAUUGCACUCCCUGGUAUUCCGGGGAGUAUGCCUGUUUGAGGAUCAGUUUAAAUAAAAAUCGGUGUGUUGCUUUUUGUAACGCCUCGGAUUUGGGUUAUCUUAGCCUUUGGGUUAAGAGACCUAAAAUUGACUUUUUUUGUGCAUUUUUAUAGACGUACAUAAGAUAUUUUUUUAUUCGUCUUGGAAUGCCAAAUUUAUUAGGUAUGAUUCAUGGUGUGUGAUUUCGUACGUAUAGG
rnacentral:rRNA from 1 species